GAAGCAGCCACCAUUUAAAGAGUGCGUAAUAGCUCACUGGUCGAGUGACUCUGCGCCGAAAAUGUACCGGGGCUAAACGUAUCACCGAAGCUGCGGACUGUUCUUCGAACAGUGGUAGGAGAGCGUUCUAAGGGCUGUGAAGCCAGACCGGAAGGACUGGUGGAGCGCUUAGAAGUGAGAAUGCCGGUAUGAGUAGCGAAAGAGGGGUGAGAAUCCCCUCCACCGAAUGCCUAAGGUUUCCUGAGGA
rnacentral:rRNA from 1 species